rnacentral:rRNA from 1 species
UGGGGAAUAUUGCACAAUGGGGGAAACCCUGAUGCAGCGACGCCGCGUGAACGAAGAAGGUAUUCGUAUCGUAAAGUUCUGUCCUAUGGGAAGAUAAUGACAGUACCAUAGAAGAAAGCUCCGGCUAAAUACGUGCCAGCAGCCGCGGUAAUACGUAUGGAGCGAGCGUUGUCCGGAAUUAUUGGGCGUAAAGGGUACGCAGGCGGUUUAAUAAGUCGAAUGUUAAAGAUCGGGGCUCAACCCCGUAAAGCAUUGGAAACUGAUAAACUUGAGUAGUGGAGAGGAAAGUGGAAUUCCUAGUGUAGUGGUGAAAUACGUAGAUAUUAGGAGGAAUACCAGUCGCGAAGGCGACUUUCUGGACACAAACUGACGCUGAGGUACGAAAGCGUGGGGAGCAAACAGG